GACUUUGUGAGUUUGUGACCAUCCUGUCGCGUUUCUGCGUUAGUAAUGGCUGCAGACUGCAGUCUCUUCGUCUCCAGAGGCUGAGACCCACACGCUCCCUCACAUCGCCAUAUUCCCGUUCCUCGCCAAGGGCCACACCAUCCCGCUCAUCCACCUCGCCCACUACCUCCACCGCUACGGCCUUGCCACCAUCACCUUCUUUACCACCGCCGGCAACGCAGGCUUCGUCCUGGAGGGGCUGUCCGGUGCGGACGCGGCCGUCGUCGAGCUCACCUUCCCGACCGACAUCGCGGGCAUCCCUCCGGGCGUCGAGAGCGCCGAGGGGCUCACGUCCCUGGUCUCCUUUGCCGUCUUCGCCGACGCAACGUCCCUGCUCCAGCCACAGCUCGACGCAUCCCUCGCUGAGAUGCAGCCGCCAGCGAGCCUGCUCGUCACCGACCCAUUCCUGCACUGGACGAAAGCGUCGGCGGCAAGGCUGGGCAUCCCGAAGGUGUCGUUCUUCGGCAUCUCGGCCUUCGCGCAAGUCAUGCGAGAGGUGCGUGUGCGCCACGACCCUUGUGCCACGCUGCGGCCCGACAACGUCGACGCCGAUGGCCACCCGGCCACUUUCACGGUGCCGGAGUUCCCGCACAUCAAGCUCACCUUCGAAGACUUCAUGGCACCCUUCGGCGACCCUGCGUCCAUGGCGCCCAUGUUGAAGCUCGAUGCUAAGCUGGGCAGGGCCAUCGUGGAAAGUCAAGGCCUGAUCAUCAAUACCCUCCAUGGCCUCGAGGCUCCGUAUCUUGACUUCUGGAACCAGCAUGUCGGGCCCAGGGCUUGGCCCAUCGGACCCCUCUGUUUUGCCCAACCAACAUCAAUCGGACCCAAGGCCCGGCCCUCUUGGAUGGAGUGGCUCGACGACAAGGCAACAACUGGUCAAACGGUUCUAUAUGUCGCUCUUGGACACUAGCCGCAAUCCUAGAGUCACAAUUGAAGGAGGUCGCAAAUGGACUAGAGGAGGCCGAGGUUCACUUUUUAUGGGCUGUUAGGCCCGAGAAUGUCGACCUAGGUCCGGGCUUUGAAGAGCGUACAAAGGGCAGGGGCUUGAUGGUGAGAGAAUGGGUAGAUCAGUUGGAGAUUCUAAAGCAUAGCAACAUAAAAGGGUUCUUGAGUCAUUGUGGUUGGAACUCAGUACUUGAAAGUGUUGCAUCCGGUGUGCCGUUAGCGGUAUGGCCAAUGCAUGCCGAUCAACCUUUCAAUUCAAAGUUCUUGGUUGAUGAGCUGAAGAUCGCUGUUAGGGUUCACACAAGCGAUAGAACUAUUAGAGGCUCCGUAAGAAGCGAGGAGAUUUCCAAGGUGGUGAGGAUGCUCAUGGUAGGAGAGGAAGGGGUAGAAGCGGCAAAGAGGAUGGCACAGUUGUCAGCUAGUGCUAAGGAGGCCAUGAUAGAAGGAGGGCCGUCAUGGAAAUCUCUAAAGGAGAUGAUAAGCCAGUUGGGCCUAAAGUAGGAGAACGGGGAUGAAGAGGUAUGCCUGGAGAAGAAAGUGGAUGCUUGAUUAUUCGUGUGUACAUACUCUGAGUUGUUGUUGUUUAUUUUCUUCACAAAUAACUGGGUGGAUGUAAACAAUCUUUGGCAAUGAAUUAUAUAUAUGUAGGGAAGC